rnacentral:lncRNA from 1 species
AGAGGUUCUGACUGCGCGUGCGUCCGCGGCCUGCGGCGGCUCCGCUCUACCCUGCGAGGAAGAAGCACUGCAGUCACCGCGCAGUUCUGACUUUGGCCGAGCCCUCCUCAAAGGAGCGUUCAGUCAGCAGAGACGCUGCCUCUGAUCAGAGGGGUUCCGACAAGAUCACAAUGUGGACCACCAAUAAAGCAAGGAUUCUAUGUCCCAGAUGGAGGUAAGAAUCCAAUGAAUUGGCUGGAGGUGCAGCCCAAUGAAGAGCCCUUGCCGAACGUGCAGAAAGACCCGUUGCUAGCAACACACGAAGGCAAAAGGAAUCCAGACCAACCCAUGGCUUUUCCAUAGGUGAUGCCCACCCCACCUUAUCCUGCACUCGAUUCUAGACAUCUGUGAAGAGAGCGGAAUUCAUCCCUUUGCUGCCUGUCUCAUCUAGGUUUGCUGAGAUGUGAACUAGACUGAGAACCACAGUGUUCACGACCAUACCUAGAGUCAACAUGUAGAUUUUUGUUGUUGUUGCUGCUGACUCCAGCUUGGCCAUGGCAGGGACAGCGCAUGACAUGGCUCCCACCCCUAGAAAAGAGCCAGCAGGGCGUGGGCCUCUGGAAGUGUCGAUGGUUGCUGUGGGCAUACGGCUUGAUUGUAUAAAAUUAUAUAUUUUAUUUAUGCUCUUCCUUUA